rnacentral:rRNA from 1 species
UACAGAGGUCUCGAGCGUUAGGCGGAAUCACUGGGCUUAAAGCGUGUGUAGGCGGAUCGUUAAGUACCUUGUGAAAUCCCACGGCUUAACCGUGGAACUGCUUGGUAUACUGGCGGUCUUGAGCCAGCUAGGGGCUACCGGAACAAAUGGUGGAGCGGUGAAAUGCGUAGAUAUCAUUUGGAACGCCAAUGGUGAAAACAGGUAGCUGGGGCUGUGCUGACGCUGAGGCACGAAAGCCAGGGGAGCAAACGGG